AACGAACGCUGGCGGCAUGCCUAACACAUGCAAGUCGAACGAGACCUUCGGGUCUAGUGGCGCACGGGUGCGUAACGCGUGGGAACCUGCCCUUAGGUUCGGAAUAACUCCCCGAAAGGGGUGCUAAUACCGGAUAAUGUCUUCGGACCAAAGAUUUAUCGCCUUUGGAUGGGCCCGCGUUGGAUUAGCUAGUUGGUAGGGUAAAAGCCUACCAAGGCGACGAUCCAUAGCUGGUCUGAGAGGAUGAUCAGCCACACUGGGACUGAGACACGGCCCAGCCUCCUACGGGGGGGAGCAGGGGGGAAUAUUGGAAAAGGGGGGAAAGCCUGAUCCAGCAAUGCCGGGUGAGUUAUGAAGGCCUUAGGGUUGUAAAGCUCUUUUACCCGGGAUGAUAAGGACAGUACCGGGAAAAUAAGCCCCGGCUAACCCCGU
rnacentral:rRNA from 1 species